AGAGGCGCCUGGAGCGUGGUCCACACCCACCGCCUGGCCCGGAAGGGAAUGGGGGCAGGCAAGGAAACGCCCUUGAGAAGUGUUAUUUGACAAAUGUGGCAAUGCCACCACACACAGGAACCCUCACAGGUGGUGGUUCCAUGCAGAGACCCAGAUAAGACACAGCCGGCAUGGAUGGGGAGGGUUCUUGGGGCCCUGCCCCUCCCUAGUGAAGGAGCUUUUGGCAACUGAUGGCUGCCCUGCUGGUGGUCAGGGAAUCAGCUUGGAUCAUCCCAUACCUGUUCACAAGCAACAUCACUACGUGAACUCAUCACUACGUGAACUCAGGGGAGGAGCAAGGAGGAGCACCGCACAGGAGUGUGAAAGGAAAGAGUGGUGGGGAGUGAAUAAGAGGGAAAUUAGAAUGGGUAGGUGUUGGAAUGAAGGCAAUGGUGGUGGGUUUUCAAAAUACAUCAUAUACAUAUGAUGACUAUA
rnacentral:lncRNA from 1 species